CGGAAGGAGCGCUGGAAGUUCUGUGAGCCUCAGCGUUAAAAUGUGUUAGGGUUUGGGAUCCUGACUCCCUUUCUGGGGGCAACUCCUAUAAACAGAUUUAGCCUAGGACUCGUGUGUUGAAAUUGACUUGCCCCAUUCCUGCCAGUUAGAGGAUUAGCGAUACAGGUGGUGAAAAAGAAACAAUGACAACCCUAAGACCUGAGCCCCUUCUGGACCCCACACUCCACCUGUGGAACUUCAGUGGGGCCUUGUGUGGCCGAACCACAGUCCAAUCAUUUGUCGCUAGCCACCACCAUCUCGAGGGGAAAUGCCCCAAAUGUGGAAGUAUCUGACACCAGGACUGGGGAUUGGAGCACUGGAUGAACAGCGUGGGUGCCAUUCUUUUACUGUGUACUGUCCUAAGAAAGAAAAUGCUUUCCCUUUGAAGAGCCUAGUGCUGAGUGCCCCAUUCAAUCGGACCACGCAGGGCGGUCUGAGGAUUAAAAGAUGCUACCUUUAA